UACGUAGGGUGCAAGCGUUGUCCGGAAUUAUUGGGCGUAAAGAGCUCGUAGGCGGUUUGUUGCGUCGGCUGUGAAAUCCCGAGGCUCAACCUCGGGUCUGCAGUCGAUACGAGCAAACUAGAGUGUUGCAGGGGAGACUGGAAUUCCAGGUGUAGCGGUGAAAUGCGUAGAUAUCUGGAGGAAUACCGGUGGCGAAGGCGGCAUCCUGGACCAUUACUGACGCUGAGGCGCGAAAGCUAGGGGAGCAAACGGG
rnacentral:rRNA from 1 species